rnacentral:rRNA from 1 species
GCACAAGCGGUGGAUGAUGUGGUUUAAUUCGAUGCAACGCGAAAANCCUUACCCACCUUUGACAUGUACGGAAUCCUUUAGAGAUAGAGGAGUGCUCGAAAGAGAGCCGUAACACAGGUGCUGCAUGGCUGUCGUCAGCUCGUGUCGUGAGAUGUUGGGUUAAGUCCCGCAACGAGCGCAACCCUUGCCAUUAGUUGCUACGAAAGGGCACUCUAAUGGGACUGCCGGUGACAAACCGGAGGAANGUGGGGAUGACGUCAAGUCCUCAUGGCCCUUAUAGGUGGGGCUACACACGUCAUACAAUGGCUGGUACAGAGGGUUGCCAACCCGCGAGGGGGAGCUAAUCCCAUAAAGCCAGUCGUAGUCCGGAUCGCAGUCUGCAACUCGACUGCGUGAAGUCGGAAUCGCUAGUAAUCGCGGAUCAGAAUGUCGCGGUGAAUACGUUCCCGGGUCUUGUACACACCGCCCGUCACACCAUGGGAGCGGGUUCUGCCAGAAGUAGGUAGCCUAACCGUAAGGAGGGCGCUUACCACGGCAGGGUUNAGNGACUGGGGUGAAGUCGUAACAAGGUAACC